rnacentral:lncRNA from 10 species
AGCAAAUCCAAAAUUUUUGCUGUUAACAGUAUAUAUGGCAAAAGGAAUAUAGACUGCUUGGUGGAAUAAUUGUUUAUUAAACGGCUGAUUUUGAUUUUGUUAGCAAUAUUGUCAUGUCAAAAUAAUUCAUGACUUAAAAUUUUCAUGGGAUGAUAUGUCAAGUUUUUGCCAGCUGGACCACAAAGUCACAAGUAUAUGUUUUGUUUUGUUUUUUUCAAAUAGCAACAAUUUUUUUAAGAUGCUAAACUUUUCUGACCGAAUUGUGAUUUUUGAAAGCAUAAACUUACUUUGUCAUCAAAAUAAUAUCAUUGCAAAGGAUAUAACAUUAACUUAUCAAAUGUCUACUAAAAAGCAAGCAGAGCACUUUACAGGACAGGGAGUUUUGGGCAACAAAAUAGAAAAUGUGCUUGUCAGUAUGAGACAGGGUCUUGAACUCCUAGCCUCAAGUGAUCCUACUGCCUCCACCUCCCAAAGUGUUGAAAUUACCGGCCUGAGCCACUGUGUCUGGCUCCUAUGUUGUCCUUAUAAGAACACCAUGUGAAGAUACAGAGACACACAGGGAAAAAGCCCAUGCGAAGACAGAGACAGAGACUGAAGUGCUGCAGCUACAAGCCAAAGAAUGCUGAGGAUUGCUGGCAACCACCAGAAGCUAGGGGAGAGGCAUGUGUGGUUUCUGCUGCAGACCCUCCAGAAGGAACUAACCCUGCUGACAACUUGAUUUAGGAGUGCUGGCUUCCUGAAUUGUGAGAGAAUAAAUUUCUGUUCUUUAAAGCCACCAAGUUUGCAGUAGUUUGUUAUGGUAGCCCUAGGAAAUACAGGGGCGUUGGGGGAAAUAGGGAACCAUUGCUAAUCAGUACAAGGUUUCUUUUUGGGGUGAUGAAAAUGUUCUAAAAUUGUGGUGAUGGUUGCGUAACUCUGUGGAUAUAUUAAAAACCACUGAAUAAUACAUUUUUUUUUUUUUUUUUUUUUUUUUAGUCUUGCUCUGUUGCCCAGGCUGGGGUGCAGUGGCUUGAUCUCAGCUCACUGCAACCUCUGCCUGUCAGGUUCAAGC